rnacentral:rRNA from 1 species
CAGUCGCCGCGGUAAUACGUAGGGUGCGAGCGUUAAUCGGAAUUACUGGGCGUAAAGCGUGCGCAGGCGGUUAUAUAAGACAGAUGUGAAAUCCCCGGGCUCAACCUGGGACCUGCAUUUGUGACUGUAUAGCUAGAGUACGGUAGAGGGGGAUGGAAUUCCGCGUGUAGCAGUGAAAUGCGUAGAUAUGCGGAGGAACACCGAUGGCGAAGGCAAUCCCCUGGACCUGUACUGACGCUCAUGCACGAAAGCGUGGGGAGCAAACAGGAUUAGAUACCCGGGUAGUCCCUGUCUCUUAUAC